rnacentral:miRNA from 1 species
GCAGACACAUUCCAGCCAAUCAGCAGCAGACCCUCCCUCCCAGACCCUCCCACCUCCUGGACAGCAUCCAUUUUACAUUCCUUGUGAAGCUGCAUUCUUAGUGAGCUGUCCAGGAGAUGGGAGGGUCUGGGAGGGAGGGUCUGCUGCUGAUUGGCUGGAAUGUGUCUG